UACGAGGGGGGCGAGCGUUGUUCGGAAUUAUUGGGCGUAAAGGGUGCGUAGGCGGUUUGGGAAGUCUGAUGUGAAAUCUAUGGGCUCAACUCAUAGUCUGCAUCGGAAACUGCCGGGCUUGAGUAUGGGAGAGGUGAGUGGAAUUCCUGGUGUAGCGGUGAAAUGCGUAGAUAUGUCACAGAACACCAAUUGCGAAGGCAGCUUACUACAGUAUGAUUGACGCUGAGGCACGAAAGCGUGGGGAUCAAACAGG
rnacentral:rRNA from 1 species